AGUAGUAUAACUGGGUCAAAUGGUGCUACCAUUCCCAAGUGUUUGAGGAACCUCCAUACUUCUUUCAAUAAGGGUUGUACCAAUUUUUAGUCCCACCAGCAAU
rnacentral:pre_miRNA from 1 species